GGGUGGCUAUAUUACAACAGAAAAACUUCAAAAACAGACUCCAAAGAGAGACUGCAGAGCUAGAAUUGAUAUGCAAACUAGACACAAUCAACUUCGGUUUGAAUAAGGACUGGGAAUGGCUGAGCCAUUACAAACGUUGACUAUCUCCCCUUUGACCAGUAUCAGAGGUUUCAGAGGAAAGAUGCAAGAAAUGCCAAAGAAACUCUGGCCAACAAGAACUCUCCCUGUCUAGGCCCAUUGACCUCUACAGUCUGCUGUACCCUCAACAGUGUGCACACACUGCAGCAGAAGGCUGGGCCAACGAAUCUUAUGGGCUGUCCCAAGAGGAAGCAUUUCUGUGAUGAAUUUAUGGUUGAAGUUCUGGAGAAGGCCAAACGCAGGUCCAGUACCAAAGACAGAAUAACUUGUGACUAAAGGAAAGGCAUGGUGAGAUGCAAGAGGAAAGAUCAAGGGUACCAAUUGGGGAGGCAGGGGAGGGCGGGAUGUGCCCCCCACUCCCUCCGAGUUUCAAAUGCACUUAGAAGGUUUGGUGCUUUGUAAACCCCAUUAGAUGCCUAGCUGCAUGUUUGGGUGCCUAAAAACAUUUCAAAUUCUGCCCUCAAAGCACUGGCCUGGGGUCAGAGAGGAAGUCCAUGUGGAGAGUAGAACCCAGGUCUUUCAGGGCUAGCUCCCUAUCCAGCAGACCAGCCUCUCUCUCUGCUGUAUGCUGCAAAAAAAUGAGGACUCUGAUAGAUAGGAGCAAAAACAAAGCAGCCAGUUCUUUGAGACUCCAGCAAACAGUCCCAGGAUGGAUGCCAUGGUUGACAGCAUGAAAAGCAGAACUGAGGUUAGGAAGGAUGGAGAAUGAGUCAGAUGAGAGGAGAUCACUUAACUCCCAAGGGGUGAUGAGCUCCAUAGGCACCGACUCCGUGGGUGCUCAGGGGCUGGAGCAUCCACAGGAAAAAAUUAGUGGGUGCUCUGCACCCAUCGGCAGCGAGCCUCAAGCCUCAGAGCAGUCCUAGGAGCCUUGGGGACCUACUGCUCCCCGGAGCAGAAUGAAACUGUGGAGCAACACAGGUUUUUCACUAGAGACCACACCAAAGGGAAGGGGAUAUAUCCCUAGUUUACUGCCUUACACACACUGGCUGCUACAUGCAAUCUGGGGGAUUUGACAGACCCCCCCCCCCCCGAUUUGGGACAGCACAGUCUGCAGCACAUGAGAUCACCAUCUGCAGGAGCAACCCCUCCAGGAAGGUGAGCUCACAUUAGAUAGAUGCUUAGCCAUGGGGCAUGUGGUAGAAGCCUCAACAGAGAGGAUGAAACUUCUAAGAAGCAUUGCACCUCCCAAGAACAUGCAGUGAGACAACACAAAAAGGGAGCAAGUAGCCAUGGAUUAUGCCCAUAGUGAGAUGUAAUUACUGUAGGAGACAGCAUGAGCAGGUAAAGGAGAAGUGCCUUGCACCAGGACAGCAUUGCAAGGAGUGUGCCAAGGUGAACCAUUUUAGCAGUGUGGGCAAGAGCAGAGGAACGUCCCAGAAAGAUUCAGUCAGACUUGUACAAGUGUACAACAUCAAUUAUAUGUCCUCAUUGUUUAUAUGAAAAUUUUAAUAAAAUAGGGAAGUGUCACAUGAUCAGUUGAACUGGAAUCAAAGGGCUGGUGUUCCCUGUGGAAUAGGAAAUGCGGGGAGUUAGGCGGAAAGCAACUCAGGCACAUGAACAGAGCAGUGCACCGGGUUUAAUAAAGUUCCACUUGUUCAACUUAAACUGCAUUCAGCUACACACACUGUGAAUGAAACAAUUACUCCUCCUCUCCAUAAUAAUUUAUCCUUAUUUGAAAAGAGAAAGGAAAAUCACUUUUUACUUUGUGUUAUGAAGUACACAUAAAAUGCAAUCAAAACAGUGGGGAAACAGAAUAAAUUGCACAUGGCUUGAAGAAAGAUGUGUGUGUGAUCCUUAGUUUUAACAACCAUAAAACUGUAAAGAAGUUCUGAUUCAAUGAAAAUAAUGGUGUGACAGCUGGAAAUUGAUUAGCGGCAGCGUUGGGAAAUUCUUUGAAAGCCUGCCACAAAAAUCCCAUUAUGAGUUAGUCUCUUUGGGGCAAAUGCUGCAGUCUGGACUCAGGCAGGACCUCCCUCAAUGGAUGUCUGCAGGAUUUGGCCCAACAUUAAGGCCCCAUCCAGCUAAAAAGGGGCCUAUGUGAUAAAUGACCAAUAGAAGCUCUACAGACCCAUAGAGCCACAUAGCCACUAAAACUGCUCCUGAUUCCUUCUGCUCCUCAUUACUGACACUGCAUUAGGCAUCAGAAAACCAGCUACGGCCAUCCACUUGGUACAGACUCUGACCAGAACAGGCUCUGGGGAAUGACACUGGAGGGCCUGACACCAACCGAUGCUACACUACUUAUAUAACUGUUAUUAUUUCUCUUUGGAUAUAAUAUUAAGUACUUUAUAAAGCUGAAAUGUUUUUAACUCUAAAGGACAUAACGUCAGGUUAAAUAUCUACUUAAACCCAGUUUCCUUGUCUAUAGCGAACAUCAAUGUAUCCCUUACAUAACAGUUUACAUUAGUAUAACUGAAAUAGUAGUUUAAUUACAAUUGCAGGAACAUUGAACAUCCGAUUUCCUUUGUACCCUGCUGUUAGUGAUGACUCAGACCUGAGCCAUUCCUGGUUUGGGUUUUGAAAAACAAAACCUGAGACAUGGCAAAUCACAACUCCCCCAAUUAUUUCAUUAAACACGAUAUUAACCUUUUGUCUUAUUUGAAGCAGACAUUGUGUUCUCCUAUAUUUACAGUACACUAGUUCCUAUUGGGAACUCUAAAAAAGACAGACCUGGGUCAACAAGCUCUUCAUGAUGUAGUUCUUCCACUUGUAAAUAUCUGGGCGAGAAGGCCCAAGAUUGACCUGACUAAUAAAAUCCUGUAGGUGCUGAUCAUCUCAUUCUGAGACUGCAUCCUCGUCAAAGAUUGAUUGGUCCGGUGCAUAAAAAUAUUUGUUUCCCUUUAGAUUUUAGAUGCUGCCUUGUCUCACAGGAAUACAAAGAAACAAGCAACAUUAAAGUGUGUUUCUACACUGAAAAGUGACAGUGCAAAAACAGCAGAAUCCGUUUUCCUAUUUUUCAUAGAUUCCUAGAUUUGAAGGCCAGGAGCGACCAUUAUAAUUAUCUAGUCUGACCUCCUUCAUAAACAGGUCAUCAAAUUUCCCCCAACGAGUCCUGUGUCAAGUCCUGUAAGACCUGACUGAGCUAAAGCAUAUCUUUUAGGAAAACAUCCAAUCCUGAUUUAAUGAUUUCAAGUGAUGGAGUCAUCAAACCUCUAAGUAAAUUAUUUGAAAGGUUAAUUACCCUCGCUGUUAAAAAUGUGCACUGUAUUUCUAAUCUGAAUUUGUCUAGCUUCAGCAUCCAGCCAUGGGAUCUUGUAAUGCCUUUGUUUGCUAGAACGAAAAGCCCUCUUCUAGCACUAUAACAAGUCAGUGCUAGUUGUCUAUCUCUCAAUGAUUUCCAUAUCAAAUAUAUUCAUUUUGCAAGUAAAAAAAAAAUGUGUUCUUCCUAACAACAAACCACAUAAACUCUACCUAGGAUUUGAAAGUACUGUUGUGUUCUCUCUCUUUCUUAUUCAUUCUCACCAAUAGUAAAGGGUUUGUAGAUCAAAUUCUGACUUUACUAACACUUAUACAGCCCAGUGAGUUUGCACAGGUAUAAAUGAUUAGAACUAAGUGAAGAAUUCAAUGGAUGUACAAGCGUUUCCAGCAUGCUGUCUCUUUGCUGAUUUGUCUCUGCAGGGCUAACAGAAGCAAAAAGCAGUAUAAAUGUAUUCCUUCAUCACUGGAGUACCUCCUAAUUUAAAGGAAAACACACAUUUUUUUUUUAAGACACUGCCCCUCCACUCUGAUGGCAAAUAUCUGAACUGCAGUCAGUAAUGUAAUGACAGCUAGCAGAUGGCUACUGACAAUGUUCAAAGUAAGGGGGUAAUUCAGCCCCAUGUUUUCUCUAAUGGUACCAUUUCAGAUAAAGAUGAAUAAAUAGAUCUGAAAACAGCACCGCAAAGGAACACAAUUAGCACUUCCACAGGGCUAGUAAAGGCCAGGUUGUGAGGAGCCCUUGCCUAAGCUCCCAGGGGCUAUGGGGUAGGCAAGCAGCCUUGCACCCCAUACUCCUAUUGAAAUCCCACCUGCAUCUGAAGGCCCCUCCCCCAGCCUAAAGGGAGAAGCCACUGAACUCAGGAUUCAAGUAGAGUUGGGGGGCAACAAAUGAUAAAGCAGUGAUGGGAUGCAGCUGCACAAUCACAGUGUUGCCAUCUCUCAUGCUUCUAUCAUAAGUCUUGUGAUUUUUGGCACAUUCCUUUCCAGCAGCUGGAAUCAUGAUCUUGCAUGAGGAUCUCAGCUUUCAUUUAAAAAAAUUAGCAUCUAGCCCUCAUGGUGGCAGAGAAUAGCUUGAAAACAUGAAUCACGUGCACAUUAAAGGCUCAAAAACCUAGAAGGCAAAUACAAUUAACCCCAUGUUUAUUUUUUUAUAAACCAUGAUUUUAAGCCAAUCUCAUGCUUUUGUGGGGCUUCAUUCAUGAUGAUUGAAUGUUUUGGGUUGACAAUACUGUACAAGGGCCUCCCACAGUAUCAGUCUCUGCCCUCCCUGAGCUCUGGGAAUUACAAGGACAACCCACACCUGGCUCCACUGGUGAGCAAGAUGCCAAAAAAAGUGGAAAUGGACAGGGAGUAGGUGAGGUCAUAGUCCAACUCCUUCCCCCUACUGCCCCAAUGGUUGGUGCAAAGUGCGAGUUGAGAAGCACUGGGAAAGAUGGGGCCUGUGAGAGCAACAAUCCUUUCAGUGCUCAUCCUGGGGUAGUACAGCCCCUCCACCCCAUCCCAUUUGCAAAAUAAGGAGGGUAAAUACCACAGUUCAGCGCUAUGUGGAGAUCCAACUGAAAUGUCUGAAUUAUUUAAGCAAACUAUACUUUAAGUGCACUGAACUCUGACAUGUACAUGGCUAGAUGUGCAAAGUGAGAAAUGCAAGCAGCUUUCCAUUGAACGCCGGCAUUUAGUAUGCUGUUCAACAUUUUGGUUUCUUGCAUGAUUAUUUUUAUCCUUCAGACAAAUGUAAUACAUAUGCAUUAAAGUACAGAUUUGUUUAAAAAAUGAAGCCUGUACCUCAGAGGCUGGACUGCAUACAUUU